AGCCACUCCAGAAACUACCAAACAACUCUAACAUCUACUUCAGCUGAGAUAAAGAAUGGAAGGAGGACAGAGCCGAGCUGUGUCUCCAUCCUACCUAGGAUGGUCCAUUUUUAACACUCUGUGCUGUUGCCUGCCUCUGGGGAUUGCUGCUAUUGUCUGCUCCUGCAAGGCACAAAAUGCUAAUGCUGUUGGAGAUUCAGCAGCAGCUGGGGAUGCAUCAAGAACAGCCAAGAUCCUCAAUAUCAUUGGACUUGUCUGUGGAAUCAUUUUGAUCAUCAUUUUUGUCGCUCUCAAAGCCGUGCAAUGAAGGUGCCACUUUGCCCACAGAUGCUUUGGAUUUGGAUCAGCAUUGCUUUUACUACAAUGAAUUCCCCCUCCCCCACAAACAGGACCACUAAAAGGAAACAGAUGUCUGCAUAUGUGCACGCACGAAGGCUGUACAGAGUUGUUUGCCUUUGUACCUUUUUCCAGUGCCCAUGAACAUAUCCCAGGAAUGGCUUUAUAAUUACUUGUUUUGUUUUAGUUUUUUGUUUUUUGUUUUUGUCAUGAAAGCCAAUAAAUACUUGUAUACUUUGUUUUAAAAAAAUAAACACUCCAAAAUAAA